rnacentral:rRNA from 1 species
UACGUAGGGUGCAAGCGUUAAUCGGAAUUACUGGGCGUAAAGCGUGCGUAGGCGGUUGUGCAAGACAGAGGUGAAAUCCCCGGGCUUAACCUGGGAAUGGCCUUUGUGACUGCACGGCUAGAGUGUGUCAGAGGGGGGUAGAAUUCCACGUGUAGCAGUGAAAUGCGUAGAGAUGUGGAGGAAUACCGAUGGCGAAGGCAGCCCCCUGGGAUAACACUGACGCUCAGGCACGAAAGCGUGGGGAGCAAACAGG